AUAGCGUAUAUUAAAGUUGCUGCGGUUAAAAAGCUCGUAGUUGGAUCUGGGUAGUCGAUGGACGGUUCUUCGUAAGACGAUACUGCCCGUUCGGCACCACAGCCCGGCCAUGUCUUGCAUGCUCUUCACUGAGUGUGCUUGGCGACCGGAACGUUUACUUUGAAAAAAUUAGAGUGCUCAAAGCAGGCGUUAAGCCUUGUAUAAUGGUGCAUGGGAUAAUGGAAUAAGAUUUUUGGCUUGUUCUGUUGGUCUUAGAGUCAGAAGUAAUGAUAAAUAGGAACAGACGGGGGCAUUGGUAUUGAGUCGCUAGAGGUGAAAUUCUUGGAUUGACUCAAGACCAACUAUUG
rnacentral:rRNA from 1 species